CCUACGGGGAGCUGCAGUGGGGAAUAUUGGACAAUGGGCGAAAGUCUGAUCCAGCCAUGCCGCGUGUGUGAAGAAGGCCUUCGGGUUGUAAAGCACUUUCAGUGGGGAAGAAAGCCUUGGGGCUAAUACCCUCGAGGAAGGACAUCACCCACAGAAGAAGCACCGGCUAACUCCGUGCCAGCAGCCGCGGUAAUACGGAGGGUGCGAGCGUUAAUCGGAAUUACUGGGCGUAAAGCGCGCGUAGGCGGUCUGAUAAGCCGGUUGUGAAAGCCCCGGGCUCAACCUGGGAACGGCAUCCGGAACUGUCAGGCUAGAGUGCAGGAGAGGAAGGUAGAAUUCCCGGUGUAGCGGUGAAAUGCGUAGAGAUCGGGAGGAAUACCAGUGGCGAAGGCGGCCUUCUGGACUGACACUGACGCUGAGGUGCGAAAGCGUGGGUAGCAAACAGGAUUAGAUACCCCAGUAGUC
rnacentral:rRNA from 1 species